UGAAUACGAGACGCUAAGGCGUUGAAGUAGUGUAUGUCAUACUUCCAAGAAAAGCUUGCACUGUCAUAGAUAAAAAACGCCUGUACCAUAACCGACACAGGUGGGUAGGUAGAGUAUACUAAGGGGCGCGAGAUAACUCUCUCUAAGGAACUCGGCAAAAUAACUCCGUAACUUCGGGAGAAGGAGUGCCUUAUUUAUAAGGCUGCAAUAACAAGAUCCAAGCAACUGUUUAUCAAAAACACAGGUCUCCGCUAAGUCGUAAGACGAUGUAUGGGGGCUGACGCCUGCCCAGUGCCAGAAGGUUAAAGAAGUUGGUUAGCAAUAGCGAAGCUGAUAACUGAAGCCCUGGUGAACGGCGGCCGUAACUAUAACGGUCCUAAGGUAGCGAAAUUCCUUGUCGGGUAAGUUCCGACCCGCACGAAAGGCGUAAUGAUUUGGAUACUGUCUCGGAGAGGGGCUCGGUGAAAUAGACUUGUCUGUGAAGAUGCGGACUACCUGCACCAGGACAGAAAGACCCUAUGAAGCUUUACUGUAACUUGAAAUUGAAAUUGGACUUUAUUCGCGCAGUAUAGGUGGGAGGCGUUGAUUGUAAUCUUGCGGGAUUAUUGGAGCCAUCAGUGAGAUACCACCCUUGUAAUGUUAGAUUUCUAACUUUGAAUCAUUAUCUGGUCAAAGAACAGUUUCAGGCGGGCAGUUUGACUGGGGCGGUCGCCUCCUAAACGGUAACGGAGGCGUACAAAGGUUUCCUCUGAACGGUUAGAAAUCGUAUCUAGAGUGUAAAGGCAUAAGGAAGCUUGACUGUGAGACCUACAAGUCGAGCAGGGACGAAAGUCGGUCUUAGUGAUCUGACGGUACUGAGUGGAAAGGCCGUCACUCAACGGAUAAAAGUUACUCUAGGAUAACAGGCUGAUCUCCCCCAAGAGUUCACAUCGACGGGGAGGUUUGGCACCUCGAUGUCGGCUCAUCGCAUCCUGGGGCGGUAGUACGUCCCAAGGGUUGGGCUGUUCGCCCAUGAAAGCGGUACGCGAGCUGGGUUCAGAACGUCGUGAGACAGUUCGGUCCAUAUCCGGUGUAGGCGUUAGAAUAUUGAGAGGAGCCUUCUUUAGUACGAGAGGACCGAGAAGGACAUACCUCUGGUGUACCAGUUAUCGUGCCAACGGUAAACGCUGGGUAGCUAUGUAUGGAGUGGAUAACCGCUGAAAGCAUCUAAGUGGGAAGCCCACCUCAAGAUAAGUAUUCUC
rnacentral:rRNA from 1 species